UACGUAGGGUGCAAGCGUUAAUCGGAAUUACUGGGCGUAAAGCGUGCGCAGGCGGUUUUGUAAGUCUGUCGUGAAAUCCCCGGGCUUAACCUGGGAAUUGCGAUGGAGACUGCAAGGCUAGAAUCUGGCAGAGGGGGGUAGAAUUCCACGUGUAGCAGUGAAAUGCGUAGAGAUGUGGAGGAAUACCGAUGGCGAAGGCAGCCCCCUGGGAUGAUACUGACGCUCAUGCACGAAAGCGUGGGGAGCAAACAGG
rnacentral:rRNA from 1 species